rnacentral:rRNA from 1 species
CUGGCGGCAGGCCUAACACAUGCAAGUCGAACGAAGGCCCGGUGCUUGCACCGGUCACCUUAGUGGCAGACGGGAGAGUAACGCGUGGGAAUUUGCCCGAUAGUACGGAAUAACUGUUGGAAACGGCAGCUAAUACCGUAUACGCCCUCCGGGGGAAAGAUUUAUCGCUAUCGGAUAAGCCCGCGUCGGAUUAGCUAGUUGGUGAGGUAAAGGCUCACCAAGGCGACGAUCCGUAGCUGGUCUGAGAGGACGAUCAGCCUCACUGGGACUGAGACACGGCCCAGACUCCUACGGGAGGCAGCAGUGGGGAAUAUUGGACAAUGGGCGCAAGCCUGAUCCAGCCAUGCCGCGUGAGUGAAGAAGGCCUUAGGGUGUAAAGCUCUUUCAGCAGGGAAGAUGAUGACGGUACCGCAGAAGAAGCCCCGGCCAA